UGCCUGAAAGCAGGGGGAAGGGUUCCCUCCCCUCCCAGCAGAGUGCGGAGACUGCAGCUAGGAGCCGGGGGAGACAGCAGGCUCCGGGUCAGGCCUUCCCCUGCUGCGAGUGCUGGAGCUACAGGCGUGGGGAGCAAAGCCUCAGGGAUAAGGGUAACUUGUGACUGUCCCAGACAGCACUUCACUCAUCUGGGCUGAACUGAACAGUAGUUUAUCAAAAAGGCAAACAAAGAGGCCUACCAAACAAGAUUAAAGAUCUGAUGGAACAGUCAAAAGAAGAGAGAAUGUUUUUUGUGGGACUUCAGUCAUAAAACAGAAGGGAAGAUACUUAUAUAAGAAAACAAAUAUUCAAUUGUACUGUUUUAAAGAGGUCUUUAAAAAUUAA